rnacentral:rRNA from 1 species
UACAGAGGUGGCAAGCGUUGUUCGGAAUUACUGGGCGUAAAGGGCGCGUAGGCGGCCUUCUAAGUCAGACGUGAAAUCCCUCAGCUUAACUGGGGAACUGCGUCUGAUACUGGCGAGCUUGAGUGCAGGAGAGGAACGCGGAAUUCCAGGUGUAGCGGUGAAAUGCGUAGAUAUCUGGAGGAACACCGGUGGCGAAGGCGGCGUUCUGGACUGCAACUGACACUGAUAAACGAAAGCCAGGGUAGCAAACGGG